UACGUAGGUGGCAAGCGUUGUUCGGAAUCACUGGGCGUAAAGCGUGCGUAGGCUGUUUCGUAAGUCGUGUGUGAAAGGCGCGGGCUCAACCCGCGGACGGCACAUGAUACUGCGAGACUAGAGUAAUGGAGGGGGAACCGGAAUUCUCGGUGUAGCAGUGAAAUGCGUAGAUAUCGAGAGGAACACUCGUGGCGUAGGCGGGUUCCUGGACAUUAACUGACGCUGAGGCGCGAAAGCGUGGGGAGCAAACAGG
rnacentral:rRNA from 1 species